UGCCGCUUCAGAAUGUAAUAAAAUUUGAUAAAAAGAAGAUUUUAAGGCGCAACAAGUGAGUUAUUUGUUAAUUAUUGUAGAAAUAACGUGUCAAUACACUUGUUACAAAUUAGAUAACAGGCCUCAACCAUAAGAGAAAGAUCAGAACGCGUUGCAAAGAAAAACGGCCGUAGCAACACAACUCGCAACAAAUAGGCCACGCACAUACAACUUUUUGCCAUAAGAGAAAUAG
rnacentral:lncRNA from 1 species